GCCUUCGUGGUGCAGUGGUCAGCACGCUCGGCGCGUAUUCGAGAGGUCCAUGGUUCGAGUCCUGGAGAAAGCA
rnacentral:tRNA from 1 species